CAGCCGCCGCGGGAAUACGAAGGGGGCUAGCGUUGUUCGGAAUAACUGGGCGUAAAGGGCGCGUAGGCGGAUCUUUAAGUCAGGGGUGAAAUCCCAAGGCUCAACCUUGGAACUGCCUUUGAUACUGGAGAUCUUGAGUCCGGGAGAGGUGAGUGGAACUGCGAGUGUAGAGGUGAAAUUCGUAGAUAUUCGCAAGAACACCAGUGGCGAAGGCGGCUCACUGGCCCGGUACUGACGCUGAGGCGCGAAAGCGUGGGGAGCAAACAGGAUUAGAUACCCGCGUAGUCCCUGUCUCUUAUAC
rnacentral:rRNA from 1 species